rnacentral:lncRNA from 1 species
UUUAUUUUGAGAAAAUCGCUCGAUGUUGGAUCAAACUUAUUUUUGUUCUUUCUGAAAGCGGUUGAUUUUAGUCUCGAGUUAGCAAUCAAAUAAUAUAAUAAAACAACUGUAAGGGAAGCUAUAAAAUUAGGUAAGCAAUACAACCCAAGGAUGGAGGAUACAUCUUGUCAAAUAGGGAAUGAAAUAAAGAUAGGCAUUGGAAAUAAAAUCGAUACAAAGCAAGCCAAAAUAUAUGAGAUAGUA